rnacentral:rRNA from 1 species
GUUAUAUAGUCAAGCGACUAAGCGCAUACGGUGGAUGCCUUGGCAGUCAGAGGCGAUGAAGGACGUAGAAACCUGCGAUAAGCGUUGGUAAGCUGGUAAACGAGCUUUGACCCAACGAUUUCCGAAUGGGGAAACCCAUCCGUCAUAAGGCGGAUAUCCUGCACUGAAUUCAUAGGUGUAGGAAGCGAACCCGGAGAACUGAAACAUCUAAGUACCCGGAGGAAAAGAAAUCAACCGAGAUUCCCCUAGUAGCGGCGAGCGAACGGGGAUCAGCCGAUGGUUGUUGUGUUAGUGGAAUGCUCUGGAAAGUGCAGCAAUAGAGGGUGAUAGCCCCGUACACGAAGACACAGCGAUCACAUAUUAAGUAGGACGGGACACGUGUUAUCUUGUCUGAAGAUGGGGGGACCAUCCUCCAAGGCUAAAUACUCCUGACUGACCGAUAGUGAACCAGUACCGUGAGGGAAAGGCGAAAAGAACCCCUGUGAGGGGAGUGAAAUAGAUCCUGAAACCGUAUGCGUACAAGCAGUGGGAGCAGACUUGUUCUGUGACUGCGUACCUUUUGUAUAAUGGGUCAGCGACUUAAUUUUAGUAGCAAGGUUAACCGUAUAGGGGAGCCGUAGGGAAACCGAGUCUUAAUAGGGCGCAUAGUUGCUAGGAUUAGACCCGAAACCGAGUGAUCUAUCCAUGAGCAGGUUGAAGGUUAGGUAACACUGACUGGAGGACCGAACCCACUGUCGUUGAAAAGCCAGGGGAUGACUUGUGGAUAGGAGUGAAAGGCUAAUCAAACUCGGAGAUAGCUGGUUCUCCUCGAAAGCUAUUUAGGUAGCGCCUCGUGUAUCACCAUAGGGGGUAGAGCACUGUUUGGGCUAGGGGUUCAUCCCGACUUACCAACCCCAUGCAAACUCCGAAUACCUAUGAGUGCGAGCACGGGAGACACACUGCGGGUGCUAACGUCCGUUGUGGAGAGGGCAACAACCCAGACCGCCAGCUAAGGUCCCAAAUUCAUAGUUAAGUGGGAAACGAUGUGGGAAGGCUUAGACAGCUAGGAGGUUGGCUUAGAAGCAGCCAUCCUUUAAAGAAAGCGUAAUAGCUCACUAGUCGAGUCGGCCUGCGCGGAAGAUUUAACGGGGCUCA